GCCUUGUUUCACUCCAGUUGUCACUCCAAACUCUUAGGAUCAAGAGUUACUCAUCGAUACAUGUGCCUGCAUGUUGGUAUGUAAUGCGCAAAUAAUGCUGGUAAACUUGUUUGGGCAGCCGUAUUUCUGCAGAACUUUCCCAUGUCGUGGAACUGAGUUUCAGGUAGUACAUCAGGAGCUAGGUACUUAUUAAUCCUGUUUAGGAGUAUGCAUGAGAGAAUUUUACCAACUAUAGCAAGGAGGGAUAUACCUCUGUAAUUUCCAGUCUUUCCUAUUUCCUUUUUUGAAAAUUGGAACAAUGCUAGCAUCCUUCCAAUCUUGUGGGACCUCUUCUGUAACCCAGUUGCAGUGCCAUAUACAGUGGAUCAGAACCUGGACCAAUUGUCUUCUAGGUUGUCUGCACUUUCAAGGUAUUCCCAGUUGUGUACGCCAGUGACAGUAUGUUGUACUGGGACCAGGACAUGACCCAGCCCAUAGCCCAAACUCUGUAUCAACGGGAAGGAGAUGGCAGGCUGUUCAUGGAUCAGGAUUUCACCACUGCUCUGCAAUAGUUCCACCCAGAUCUGCUGAAUCAGAUGAGUGCCCGUUCGCACAAAGAGAUGCAGUUGCAGCCAGCUGAUUUGAGGACUCUCAUUGUUUGCAAUAUUUAUUGUAUUAGGCUAUGCUAAAAAGCACAAAGCCAUCAAAUAUGAAUCACAAAAUGAUUAGAAAUAUGUUUGGCAAUUUCAAACAUGCUUGCUAACAAAAUAACUUGCAUUUUCUCUUGAAUAAUUUGUUUUUUCCAUUUAUUUAGGUGACCACACUACAGAAGAGCUUCCUCAGAAUCAGGUCUUCACUAGAGACCAGACCUUGUUUUUGAUUGACCUCAUGCGCCAGCAUUUACUGAAAGACAACUCUGAGCUCCCACGCAAUCUGGCAGAACUCAACUCAAGGAUCAGAAUGGGCAGGGGGAAAAAGAGGCUGUUUUGGCAGGAUAUUGCAGCUAAAUUGUCUACUUAUACCCCUUUUCCACCAAAUCAGUUCCAGGGCUGGUUCGGGGCCAGUGCUGGUUCACAACUCGUUCAACUUGCGAGCCAGCUGAGAACCAGUUUGCUUUUCCAUAGCUCGCGGUGCUAAGGGGAGCCACGUCAGUUACGUCGCUGUAUACGUCAGUUACGUCGCUGUAUACGUCAGUUACGUCACUACGUUUGCAUAAACCUUGGCGCGAAUAUCAAAGCAAAAACAAUGCGGAAGAAGCAGCAGCAGCAACAACAAUAAUAAUAAUAAUGGAUGACUUCGCGUUUGUACAGCUGCUGCUUCUCGUCGCUUAAAAAUGGCGAUCUUUUGCGGUCUUGUUAUUGUUAUUGGUCUUAACAACUCCGCCCCCCCGCUGACGUAAGCGGUUCUUUCCUCUGGCCCAGCAGAGAGUUGGUGCUAGCCUGGAACCGGUUUUUCUGGCCCCAGAGCCAGUUCUUUGUCAGUGGAAACAGAAAACCCGGUUCCAAACUAAGCACUGGCCCCGAACCAGCCCUGGAACUGCUUUGGUGGAAAAGGGGCAACAGUUCCAUCAAAAUUUUGAAAUUGAAAGUGUCCAGAAAGUGGACAACCCUGAAAAAUGCCUAUAAGAAAGCAAUAGAUAACAAUGCCUCAACAGGGAAAGCACCCACAAAGUUCCAGUUUCUGAAAGAACUGGGUGAACUGAUUGGAGGAAACCAUGACGUGGAUUUUCACGUUAUCGGGACUGCAAAAGGAGUAAUUGUCAGGCGGCCAGAGGUCAUCAAGCAAACCAAUCAAACACCCCAGUUCGCUCACUCUUCCACAGAAGAAGGUGUGUCUUCUCCUAACUCCAGUUGUGAUACUGCGCAGUCUUCUGAUUCUGAGUCCUCAGGGCCAUCACAAGCACCUGCCCAUACCACUGCGGUCUUCAAGCGUAAAAGGAAAUGGCAAGAAGAUAAAACCGAAGUUAUAGGUUUUCUAAAAGGAUGUGAGGUACCCUCUCAACAGAGACACGAAGAAGUCAUGAGCCAAAUUAAAACAGCAAAUGCUAUGUUUGAAAAGUUGUUGCAAUCACGCCAGCAGGAAUGAAGAAGCAGACUUUAAUUUCCUUUUUAUGAUGCCUGAAAAUGGAGAGGUAUGUUUUAUGUUUACAGAAGAGACUUUAGUUCACAAAAGAGUUUUAUUACAGAUGUGGUUUUGCACAUUACAUUUUUGUUUUCAUACAUUUCCAGUAACAAAAACUUAUAAAGAAUAUGUACAAAUAAUAGUGUUGAAAUGAUAGACAAAUCUUUUUGAAGAUGGUGUUC